UUGAACGCUGGCGGAAUGCUUUACACAUGCAAGUCGGGCGGCAGCGCGGGGGCAACCCUGGCGGCGAGCGGCGAACGGGUGAGUAACAUAUCGGAACGUACCCAGACGUGGGGGACAACUAGUCGAAAGACUAGCUAAUACCGCAUACGUCCUGAGGGAGAAAGCGGGGGAUCGCAAGACCUCGCGCGUUUGGAGCGGCCGAUAUCUGAUUAGCUAGAUGGUGGGGUAAAGGCCCACCAUGGCGACGAUCAGUAGCUGGUCUGAGAGGAUGAUCAGUCAUAUUGGAACUGAGACACGGUCCAGACUUUUACGGGGGGCAGCAGUGGGGAAUUUUGGACAAUGGGGGAAACCCUGAUCCAGCCAUUCCGCGUGAGUGAAGAAGGCCUUCGGGUUGUAAAGCUCUUUCGGCAGGAACGAAACGGCGGAAUCUAAUACAUUCCACUAAUGACGGUACCUGAAGAAGAAGCACCGGCUAACUACGU
rnacentral:rRNA from 1 species